CGGCCCUCGUCAGAUUUAUGAAAAUUAAAAACAAAACAAAACAAAACUCUAAGCUUCAGCCCUUGCUAAGCCUCAAAGUUGACAGCCAACCCCAAUCUGACAGACGAAGAGGAAAUUUGGACACACAGAGAGACACUGGCAAAAGCACAUGCACAGAGGAGAGACUUUAUGAGGACACAGUAGGAAGACAGCCAUCCACAAGCCAAGAAAAGAGGCUUCAGGAGAAACCAAACCUGCUAACACCUUGAUCUUGAACUUCCAGCCUCCAGAACUAUGAAAAAUAAAUUUAUGUUGUUUAA